AGGGGUUGUCUAGAGAUUUAUCGGUAUGGGAUGAGCUUGCGUCCGAUUAGCUAGUUGGCGUGGCAACGGCCCGCCAAGGCGACGAUCGGUAGCCGGCCUGAGAGGGUGAUCGGCCACAUUGGGACUGAGAUACGGCCCAGACUCCUACGGGAGGCAGCAGUAGGGAAUAUUGCACAAUGGGGGAAACCCUGAUGCAGCAACGCCACGUGUGGGAAGAAGCAUUUCGGUGUGUAAACCACUGUCGUGAGGGAAUAAUGCUUAAUUUCGGUUAAGUUGAAUGUACCUCGAAAGGAAGCACCGGCAAACUUCGUGCCAGCAGCCGCGGUAAUACGAGGGGUGCAAGCGUUGUUCGGAAUCACUGGGCGUAAAGGGAGCGUAGGCGGAGGAGCAAGCAGUCUGUACAAUGCCGGGGCCCAACCCCGGACCUGCAGACUGGACUGUUUCUCUUGGAUAGUUCAGGGGCUGGCGGAAUUCCUGGUGUAGCGGUGGAAUGCGUAGAGAUCAGGAAGAACACCGAUGGCGAAGGCAGCCAGCUGGGGACUCAUCGACGCUGAGGCUCGAAAGUGCGGGUAGCAAACAGGAUUAGAUACCCUGGUAGUCCGCACUGUAAACGAUGCAUACUGGGUGUCCGCGUUUCGACGCGGGUACCGGAGCCAACGCGUUAAGUGUACCGCCUGGGGAGUACGUACGCAAGUAUGAAACUCAAAGGAAUUGACGGGGGCCCGCACAAGCGGUGGAGCAUGUGGUUUAAUUCGAA
rnacentral:rRNA from 1 species